rnacentral:tRNA from 1 species
GGGCUCGUAGCUCAGCUGGUUAGAGCGCCUGCUUGACACGCAGGAGGUCGGAAGUUCGAGUCUUCUCGAGCCCACCA